rnacentral:rRNA from 1 species
CCUACGGGAGGCAGCAGUGAGGAAUAUUGGUCAAUGGCCGUAAGGCUGAACCAGCCAAGUCGCGUGAAGGAAGAAGGAUCUAUGGUUUGUAAACUUCUUUUAUAGGGGAAUAAAGGUAUCCACGUGUGGGUAUUUGCGUGUACCCUAUGAAUAAGCAUCGGCUAACUCCGUGCCAGCAGCCGCGGUAAUACGGAGGAUGCGAGCGUUAUCCGGAUUUAUUGGGUGUAAAGGGUGCGUAGGCUGUUUUUUAAGUCAGAGGUGAAAUCUUGUGGCUCAACCAUAAAAUUGCCUUUGAAACUGGAAGACUGGAGUGUGUGUGAGGUAGGCGGAAUGCGUGGUGUAGCGGUGAAAUGCAUAGAGAUCACGAAGAACACCGAUUGCGAAGGCAGCUUACUAAGACAUAACUGACGCUGAAGCACGAAAGCGUGGGGAGCAAACAGGAUUAGAUACCCCUGUAGUC